GAUGAACGCUGGCGGCGUGCCUAAUACAUGCAAGUCGAGCGAAUGGAUUAAGAGCUUGCUCUUAUGAAGCUAGCGGCGGACGGGUGAGUAACACGUGGGUAACCUGCCCAUAAGACUGGGAUAACUCCGGGAAACCGGGGCUAAUACCGGAGAACAUUUUGAACCGCAUGGUUCGAAAUUGAAAGGCGGCUUCGGCUGUCACUUAUGGAUGGACCCGCGUCGCAUUAGCUAGUUGGUGAGGUAACGGCUCACCAAGGCAACGAUGCGUAGCCGACCUGAGAGGGUGAUCGGCCACACUGGGACUGAGACACGGCCCAGACUCCUACGGGAGGCAGCAGUAGGGAAUCUUCCGCAAUGGACGAAAGUCUGACGGAGCAACGCCGCGUGAGUGAUGAAGGCUUUCGGGUCGUAAAACUCUGUUGUUAGGGAAGAACAAGUGCUAGUUGAAUGAGCUGGCACCUUGACGGUACCUAACCAGAAAGCCACGGCUAACUACGUGCCAGCCGCCGCCGUAA
rnacentral:rRNA from 1 species